UACGUAGGGUGCGAGCGUUACUCGGAAUUACUGGGCGUAAAGCGUGCGCAGGCGGUGAUGUAAGUCAGGUGUGAAAUCCCCGGGCUUAACCUGGGAACUGCAUUUGUGACUGCAUCGCUGGAGUGCGGCAGAGGGGGAUGGAAUUCCGCGUGUAGCAGUGAAAUGCGUAGAUAUGCGGAGGAACACCGAUGGCGAAGGCAAUCCCCUGGGCCUGCACUGACGCUCAUGCACGAAAGCGUGGGGAGCAAACAGG
rnacentral:rRNA from 1 species